GAUUGUGAUGUGACCAAACAUCAGUCCCUUGCACUCCACAAUCGUGAGUCCUGCGUCAAUGGAAUGUUCAAGCCAAUUGAGCCAGGGCUUUGCCUUGUGCAUGAAGAUGGCAAAUAUGAAGUUGUCAGUCAAGUACGUCUGUUGCCUACUAUCAGACCGGAGUUGUGCUCCUGUGAUCCAUCAAACCUCGCAGAGUCAGCUGGCAGAUCAGUCAUUUUGGCUACCAUGAAUGGUCGGUAUGAUCUACACUUGCCGAAGUUGGCAUGCAAGUCAUGUCCAGCCCAGUGGACACCUGACCGAAAGGAUUUAAUCCAAAGUGGGUAUUGGCCAGCGUCUGUGAAGAGUGACACAUUGUUUGCAGCUGAUCUGCUUGCAACAUUUGAAGGGAUGAAAACUACAGCACCCAAUCUAUCGAGACAGGGUUUUUUGCGGAUGUUGGAUGAGAGGACUUCUCACUUUGGAAGAACUGGAAAAAUACAUGGAGACAUCUUCCAAAGGAGCUUUUUGGAGUACACAUUCUGCAACUACCAGUGCGAGAAAAUGUCAAGUGUGGAGCACUUUACAUGCGCAGCAUGUACCCCAAACAUGCUGGCGCUGUGUGCAGAUGGAAACAGAAAGGUUUACCGAUUUCGGCAGUCUAAAGGGUCUGAACAACCACAUUUUGAUGGUGCCUUCAUUGCGAAAGAUGCCGACGUGCACAGUUUUGUUGAGGACAUCAUGAGCAAACAGAAAAGUACGGCUGGCAGAGGAAGCUGCGGGGUCAGUCAGUGGUCCGCUGCCCGCGAAACGGCUAGAAAAGCCAAUAGACUGGACGAGGAGGGGCUUGAAGUGGUCGUCUGCAGGCAUGGGUUGCUUCUAAAGGCAGUCAACAUGUUCAGAGGCGAAAUAUUUGCCUAUCCACUUUUCCUGCAGAAGGAGCUUCAGGCAGCCACAGGCGGGCAGUUCUAUUGCACGGAUAUUGCCUGCAAGUACUGGCCCUACCUUGAGAGAUUGGCAGUCUCCAUGCUGGAACUGACCCCUUUAUUGCAGAUGAGACCAUUCCUCUCCGUCAUGCAUGCCAAAGCCCACUCAACAAAGUGUGAGGUAUUGUUGUCAUGAUACUGGAAUUGUAAUUAUCAGGAAUUGUAAGUAUGGAACAAGGCUUGUUUAUUGUGUGAAGAACAAUAGUAUGUAAGUUAAUUUACUUUUGGCGGUGGUACUAAGUAGGCUUUACAGUGGUGCAAUUUGACAACCUUUGUUUAAGAGGAGGGCGAAAAAAACGCAGUCAAUACUGGUAUAUUGAUACUGAAAAAAAACGAAAGAAAGAGUUUAAACCAUUUUAAAUAUUCUGUAUCGAUAUGUAUUAUAUUUUAGCGCCUUUGACAAUGCAUGUGUUUGUGUAUAAAACUGGAAAGAUAAUCUGGAGUGGCAGAAAUCAAGAGGGUGCUGGCACAACUGCAGGAGAAGAGGUUGAAAUGGUGAACAGCUACCUUUCUCGUUGUGGCCUCACAACCAAGUACAUGACCAAAUCUGCCAGGAAUGACAUGCUGACCAUACAUGCCAUUGGGUGGAACAAGCGGAAGCAAGAUGGUCUACAUCUUGCUUUGUCUUGCAGAUAUGUCAAGACACUGCAAAAGGCUGAGGCUGCGUCUCAGAAAUUACGUGAUUUGUGCAGUGACCUUGACUGCCCUGAGGACAUGGUGCACCAGUGGGUAGAGGACGUGAGACAGUGGGCGAAGGCUGAUGCUGUAGGUUCCGGUUCUGAUGACCAGCACCAGCUUCAAAAAUCAAUUGAAGAGAUCUUUCUUGGGGUUCAUCAGAAAAAAGCGAACCUCUACAAUCAGACCGACAGCAACAAAAUUCGUCAUUUAAGGCGAAGAAAACUCUGGACAGAGAAGAAAAAAACUCUUCGAAAAAAUCAGGCUUUAUAAUCAGCAGGUGCCAGAGGAGGAGCGCAUUGUUGAGGAGAAGGUGGAAGGAAAGCUUUCAUUGUUGGGGGGGAAAUGAUGAGGAAGACAGUCUGAUCUGGCCAUGGGAGAUGCACAGCAGUGGAAUCAGCAAUAUCGCUAAGAAAAAGAGGAUAUUCGAUGCAUGCAUGGCCAAAAUGCGUGUCCAAGAAGAAAAAGUCAUCCUUGUCAGAGAGAUGAGAAACCACUGCGCCUACCUGAACCAGCUGGCUGGGAGCAUCAGGAAAAUGACAACAGAAAUGUCUUCUGGUGAAAGCAGAGGAAAUGUAAGUGAAGAAGGCCAUCGGGGAUUGAUUUGUCUUCUUCGAAAAAGGCUUUUAGAUCUGGAGGAAAAACUCCAAGCUGUGUGUGCAAGGUACCGUCAGGCUUUGGGACCAGAUGCUAAUUCCCUGCUUCAAGAUGUCCCCGAAGAAGACAUCCAAGAGCAACACGAUGACCUGUACGAGAGCACAGACGACAGUGACUAAAAUUAAAAAAAUAAAGCGGUUCCGGCACUCCCUCCAUCACUUUUUCUAUUGGUUGAAUCUCGUUCGUAGGCAAUUAACACUCGCAUGGUGAUGCUUCAUAACCCCUAAUCCUACAGAGAAUCCUACACCCUCGAGGUAAGUGGGAAAAAAAAGUGUGUCAUAAAAUUGACAAUACCGAAGUUAUUUUCCAUGCCAUCACUUCAGGUAACAAUCAAACUAGAUUCUGCAGUGUAUUUAAAUUGCCUCCCUCAUGAUGUAAUGUUUUUGUCUGUCUUCUUGAAAAUAAAAAGUGAAAUUGUUAA
ensembl:lncRNA